GCCCCAGUGUAGCUUAGGCUUCUCACUGCUUUCAUAUUUGAGCCUCAGACUUAACUUCUCCAGAGGAGACAGUCCAUUUCCAACAGGGCACUGAGAAGACCCCUUUACCAUUUCAUACUAACUAAUUGUUGUUAUUUCUUUAGGGUCGAGACAAAAAAGCUUGACCCAUGGAGGAGGAAACUAAGGAGCUAAUGGUUCGUAAAGAAGGUUGCAGCUGCACAGAACUGGCCCACGUCACUGAGCUUCUCUUUCCUUUUCCCUUUCUCCCAGUCUUCAUUUCCUAAAGUCUCAAGCUCCAGGGAAGACGGGAUAUGAUAUGAAACUAAGGGGAUCCCACAUCAUGACUCAGAAAAUUUCUGGUCAAAUACUAGGAGGGUCCCUCACCCACCCUGGACUCACUGACUGACUAAAGUAGCUGACCAGCAAGCUUCUUGGAUCCUCCCGUGCUGGAGCUACAGGUGUGCCCCGACAUGCUUAGCUGUUGUGAGCGUUCUGGGGAUCCAAACUCGGGCCUUCAUGUUUGCGCACGGGGAACACAAUCAGACUCAGCUACCUCUUCGGCUCAGCUUCUUUGUUUGCUGGUAAAUGUCUGAGGACACUGUGAUCUCUGGGGACACCAUCUAAGCUGCUCUUAACUGUUUUAGUUAUAAAGCCUGUGAAACCUA